GUAGGCAUAGUUUAACAAAGACAUUAGAUUGUGAUUCUAAAAAUAGGGGUUAAACCCCCCUUGUCCACC
rnacentral:tRNA from 1 species